rnacentral:rRNA from 1 species
GGGCCCGCACAAGCAGCGGAGCGUGUGGUUUAAUUCGAUGCAACACGAAGAACCUCACCAGGGCUUGACAUGACAGAAGUAGGAAUCCGAAAGGAGGACGACCUGUUGAGUCAGGAGCUGCCACAGGUGCUGCAUGGCUGUCGUCAGCUCGUGCUGUGAAGUGUUAGGUUAAGUCCUGUAACGAGCGCAACCCUCAUUGCCAGUUGAUUUCUCUGGCGAGACUGCCCCACACAAUGGGGAGGAAGGUGGGGAUGACGUCAAGUCAGCAUGGCCUUUAUGCCCUGGGCUACACACACGCUACAAUGGGUGGUACAAUGGGUUGCAAAAGAGCGAUCUGGAGCCAAUCCAAAAAACCAUCCUCAGUUCGGAUUGCAGGCUGAAACCCGCCUGCAUGAAGUCGGAGUUGCUAGUAACCGCAUAUCAGCAUGGUGCGGUGAAUACGUUCUCGGGCCUU